rnacentral:rRNA from 1 species
GGGAUUGCCCUAGUAACGGCGAGUGAAGCGGCAACAGCUCAAAUUUGAAAUCUGGCUCUUUUAGAGUCCGAGUUGUAAUUUGCAGAGGGCGCUUUGGCGUUGGCAGCGGUCCAAGUUCUUUGGAACAGGACGUCACAGAGGGUGAGAAUCCCGUACGUGGUCGCUAGCCUUCGCCGUGUAAAGCCCCUUCGACGAGUCGAGUUGUUUGGGAAUGCAGCUCUAAAUGGGAGGUAAAUUUCUUCUAAAGCUAAAUACUGGCCAGAGACCGAUAGCGCACAAGUAGAGUGAUCGAAAGAUGAAAAGCACUUUGGAAAGAGAGUCAAAUAGCACGUGAAAUUGUUGAAAGGGAAGCGCUUGCAGCCAGACUUGCCUGUAGUUGCUUAUCCGGACUUUUGUCCGGUGCACUCUUCUGCGGGCAGGCCAGCAUCAGUUUAGGCGGUUGGAUAAAGGUCUCUAUCACGUACCUCCCUUCGGGGUUGGCCUUAUAGGGGAGACGACAUGCAACCAGCCUGAACUGAGGUCCGCGCAUCUGCUAGGAUGCUGGCGUAAUGG